UAUCCUGUCUGAAUAUGGGGGGACCAUCCUCCAAGGCUAAAUACUCCUGACUGACCGAUAGUGAACCAGUACCGUGAGGGAAAGGCGAAAAGAACCCCGGCGAGGGGAGUGAAAAAGAACCUGAAACCGUGUACGUACAAGCAGUGGGAGCACAGAGCAAUCUGUGUGACUGCGUACCUUUUGUAUAAUGGGUCAGCGACUUAUAUUCUGUAGCAAGGUUAACCGAAUAGGGGAGCCGAAGGGAAACCGAGUCUUAACUGGGCGUUAAGUUGCAGGGUAUAGACCCGAAACCCGGUGAUCUAGCCAUGGGCAGGUUGAAGGUUGGGUAACACUAACUGGAGGACCGAACCGACUAAUGUUGAAAAAUUAGCGGAUGACUUGUGGCUGGGGGUGAAAGGCCAAUCAAACCGGGAGAUAGCUGGUUCUCCCCGAAAGCUAUUUAGGUAGCGCCUCGUGAAUUCAUCUCCGGGGGUAGAGCACUGUUUCGGCAAGGGGGUCAUCCCGACUUACCAACCCGAUGCAAACUGCGAAUACCGGAGAAUGUUAUCACGGGAGACACACGGCGGGUGCUAACGUCCGUCGUGAAGAGGGAAACAACCCAGACCGCCAGCUAAGGUCCCAAAGUCAUGGUUAAGUGGGAAACGAUGUGGGAAGGCCCAGACAGCCAGGAUGUUGGCUUAGAAGCAGCCAUCAUUUAAAGAAAGCGUAAUAGCUCACUGGUCGAGUCGGCCUGCGCGGAAGAUGUAACGGGGCUAAACCAUGCAC
rnacentral:rRNA from 1 species